CGGCCGGGCGAGGAUGUGCCUGGAAUGGGAACAUCCCGGCGGUGCAGCAGGAGCUCGGCGAUGCUCUGGCUCCCUUUGGUGGCCGACAGCUUCUAUAGCUACCACCUGCAGCGCUCUGCCUUUGGAAACACGGCCCUGCAGCGGCUCCUGACGAGGUGAUUAUGAACAGUAAUGAAAAAUUCCCUCGUGGAAAGAGGGCGGUCACUGGAAGGGGCUGCGCAGGGAGGUUUGGAGUCCCCAUCCCUGGAGGCGUCCAAGGAACGACCGCGCGCGGCACUCGAGGACAAGGUGGGGAUCGGUCACGGGUUGGACUGGGUGAUCUGGGAGAGCUUUUCCAACCGAAAUGAUCCCGUAAUUCCACGAUCCCGGGCGGGAUCCGCCCGUUUCCCGCGAAACAGCGGACACUCAUUUGCAUAGCUCCGCCCUCUCGUUUGCAUAGCCCCUCCCAGUCGCGCCCCACCCGCGCGUGCGGCGUCACCGGGCGCGUCUCCCGGGCAACGGCGCCACUGGUUCGAGUCCCGGCCCCGCCGGGUCCCUUCGCGUCCCCCCCGGGUCCCCUCUGUGUCCCCCCUGUCCCCUCUCUGUGCUCCUCUCUGUCCCCUCUCUGUGCCCCCGGCCAUGCUCCGCGACGAGGACACCGAGGCGGAUUUCCAGCGCUUCCUGCGCCGCGUGGACGAUGUCAGCAAUUUGCUGCAAGGCCUGAAGUCCCCAGACUCAGCUGUCAAGGAGAAAGCCCUUGCUGAGGCAGAGAAAAGGCUCCAGGAGGAAGGAACCAGCAAAGAGGAGGAAACCAGGACCACGGUGAACAGGACAGUCAUCAACACCAGAGCCUCUGGCCCAGCAGAGGCAGCAAAUGCAGAUGCUUUCCUGGCAAUGCUGGAGAAGGACGCAAAAGAACGAGCUCAGCAGAGGAAGAGAAAGGAGCAGCUGGCCAAUGCUCUCAGGCAGGAGGGGAACGAGGCCUUCAGGAGGGGAGACGUGGCCGGGGCCAUCCGCAGGUACUCGGAGGGGCUGCAGCAGCUGCGGGACAAGCAGGAGCUCUACACCAACAGGGCACAGGCCUACCUGAAGAUCCAGGAGUAUGAAAAAGCCAUUGGUGACUGUGAAUGGGCAUUAAAGUGCAAUGAAAAAUGCAUUAAAGCCUAUUUUCUGAUGGGGAAGGCUCACCUGGCACUUAAACACUACCCUGAGUCCAGGCAGUGCUAUGAGAAGAUGCUGCAGGUUGAUCCCCGGCAGGAAGGGCUGUUCAAAGCCUGCGUGGCCGAGGUGAACCUGGAGGAGAAGAAGAUGAAGGAUGAGGAGAGAGCACAGAAGGAGGUUCAGGCUGGAACUGUUGCUGCCCUGACCAUCCAAGAGCUGCUGCAGAGACUUGGCACCCCUGGCCAGGAUAUCCUGUUCUACACAGGGGGCAUCAGGCUUUUGGCAGCAGCUGUGAAGGACUGCACUGAGCAAACGUUAUUUAGAACAAACAAUGGCUUCAGUAUCCUCGGAGACAACGGGGCUGUUCGAGGGUGCCUGUGUGCAGCGAGGAGGAGCCCAGCUGCAGUGGAGCUGUGUGUGUCUGUCCUGGUGCUCUGGCAGGCUGUGUGUGCUGCCAAUGGUAAAGCCAAGGGGUGCCCAUGGAUCUUGGGCCAUGGGCAGUUAAUGUGGCAUUGCUGGGGCUGGGCAGAAAAACCAAGAGAUAAUCAGAGCAGUGAGGAUGCCAUGUGGGAAGUUGCUCCCAGGCACUCUCUUUAUUUUCCAGAAGAAAAUCAGCGUCUCCUGCUGGCUCAGCCUGCUGUGAGUGCCCAGCUGCCAGAGCUACUUUCCUGUGGGGUACAGGAGAUCCAGAGGGAGACCCUGGCACUGAUUUCUCUUUACUCAGAGAGUGAGAGUGGGAGGAAACUGCUGGUCAAGCACCAGGACCUGGGCAGAUGGCUGCAGAUUCUGAUGGCAUUUGUCAAGUGCAGUGAUGCCAGGGCUGGCAGUGCCAUGAACAUACUGUGUGAUUUAAUUGCAGAGGAGAGGUUCAAAGCCCAGUGUCGGGUCCUGCUUUCCACAGGGGCUUUACCUUUAUUCACCCAGCUGCUGGUCUCUGGCAGGCAGGUGAACCUGGCAGCCCUGUCCUGUGCCAUCGGCAUCAUGGGCAGCCUGUGUGCAGACCCAGGGAUCCGAGCCCAGCUGGCUGAGAGCAGGGACUGCUGGCAGGGCUGCCUGAAGCUGCUGGAGGAAAGCCUUGAUGGCAGCACACCCAGCUACCAGGAGUGUGUGUUUGCAGUGCUGGGCCUGAUGAUGAACUUGCUGCUUGAAUCCAAUGGGACCAUCCAGGACUUGGCUGUGGCCAUCAGUGGCAGGUGCCUGGCUCUGCUCAGCCACCAGGACGGCAGGAUUGUCACAAGGGCCAUUGGGGUGCUGAGCCGUGCCCUGCCAGCAUCCUCCUCGGCGGUGGAGGAAGCAGUGAGAGGAGGGGUGGUGAAGAAAAUGAUCAAAUUCCUGAAAGCUGGGGGGCAGCUCACGGCCCGUUACGGCAUAAAGACCCUGUGCAUCUGCACCAGGAGCAGCAGGCAGGCUCAGGAGGAGCUGGUGAAGGCAGAUAAAAGGUUUGCCGUGCUGCUGAGGCUCCUGGAGUCACAGGACGAGCUGGUGGUGGGAAAUGCUGCUCUGUGCCUCGGCCAGUGCCUCGGUGUGCCGGGAGCAGGGACAUCCCUGCUGGGUUCCAGGGUGGUGCUGCUGCUGCUGGGACACGCCGGGGGUGCCGCUGCCCGGACGGCGGUGCAGGAGAACUCGGCCAUCGCCCUGGGGAAGCUCUGUGCUGCUGAGCCAAGGUACUGCCACCCCCCUGCUGCUCUGCACCGGCUGGCUGGUGUGGCACACCACAGGUAGGAAAGGGAAACACCUGAUUUUCUUAGUUGUGUUACUCUGAAAUGCCGUCGACCUGAAGAAUGGUCAGGCAUAUUCCUCAGCUGAGGAAGCUCAAUGGCCUGGCCAUCCUGAACUCCUCCAUGAAACACGUGCACAGCAGCUGAACCCUUCAGGAGACCUCCCAAACCUGUUCUUAAUACCACUUAUUGUUAAUUAUUCUUUUCUUUAAUAAAGCUAACUCAAAGCA